GCCUCUGUAUCUCAGUGGUUAGAGCACUGGUCUAGUAAACCAUGGGUGGAGAGUUCGAGUCUCUGCAGAGGCU
rnacentral:tRNA from 1 species